AAGCACGUUCAUAGGUUUCAUUAUAGCUUAGAAAAGUAUUCAUGCUGUUCUUGCUCCUGACAGGAUAAAUGCUCCGAAGACUUGUGAGACUAUAUGGGGAAGAAGUGCCUUUUACUUGUGUAUGGGCAUCGAAUGGCCAUCUUUAAGUUGUAUUUCUGCAGACAAGUAAUUUCUACGGUAGAAAGUUACAGAGUAGUGUUAGAAGCUGAGUAUCUCACAUGAGGCAGGCUCAAGGAAUUUUUCUUUUACUCUCUUCCUCUUCUGUACAUUUUAUUUUAUCUUUAUUACAGAAUGGUGUCUUUUCCCCAAGUCUUUGUAUACAAAUUUACAAUCUCAGGCUUUUAUUAUGCGUACAGGAUCUCCUUCAGCACGGACAGUCAUGAACCUGGCCUUUGUUUUUUUUCCAUUUGUGCUCUUUUUAUGUUUUGUGUACUUCAUUAAAUAACCAGUAGUUUUGAAUUAGUGUUAGCUUUUGUGAUUUUGAAACCUUGUCAGUCCCUGACACUGCCCGUGAAGUGUGUUGAUAACUGCAACAAUCUUCCCUUGCCUUCAGUACAGAUGUGCUCUGUAAGAAGCACUGUGUGCGGCAUACAAGAGGGGCUCUAGGAGUUCGUGUUUGUUUUUGUUCCUGUGGAUUAUGCAAAUGUAAACACAUGCAAUGAUCUACAGGUGAUGAUGUCUGAGUGUGUACUCGAAGCUACUCUUCAUUCUUUGAAGUACUCUCUUCAUGAUCAGCCAUCCCCAUGUGUUAAACAAGAAAACAAUCAAAGGCAUAGUCUAGAAAGUAAUUAUGACUAAAUACAUUUGUAUUAAAUACUUAAUGUGUUUUUAAAAAUAUUUCUGGUGUUUUUAACUUCUGAUAGUUCCUACACUGUCUCCAAAUAAUUCAUUUUACUCAAUUUUUGUGUUUAGACUUAGCAUUAAGAUGCUAUUUUGUUUCCCUCAUAAUUUUAAGUUGUCUUUAAAUGAAUUGAGUUAUAGCUUUUUAAUUAAAAAUAUUUCUAUUAAAAGUACUAAUUUGAGGUCUGAAGCUGUAGCCCAUUGUCUGAGCAUUCUCCUAGCAUGUAUAAGGCCUGCAUGGUGGGGGUGGGGUGGGGUGUUUCCCAGCAUUACCAAAAGUAAACAAA
rnacentral:lncRNA from 1 species